GAUUAGCUUGUUGGUGAGGUAACGGCUCACCAAGGCGACGAUCCCUAGCUGGUCUGAGAGGAUGACCAGCCACACUGGAACUGAGACACGGUCCAGACUCCUACGGGAGGCAGCAGUGGGGAAUAUUGCACAAUGGGCGCAAGCCUGAUGCAGCCAUGCCGCGUGUAUGAAGAAGGCCUUCGGGUUGUAAAGUACUUUCAGCGGGGAGGAAGGUGUUGUGGUUAAUAACCGCAGCAAUUGACGUUACCCGCAGAAGAAGCACCGGCUAACUCCGUGCCAGCAGCCGCGGUAAUACGGAGGGUGCAAGCGUUAAUCGGAAUUACUGGGCGUAAAGCGCACGCAGGCGGUCUGUCAAGUCGGAUGUGAAAUCCCCGGGCUCAACCUGGGAACUGCAUUCGAAACUGGCAGGCUUGAGUCUUGUAGAGGGGGGUAGAAUUCCAG
rnacentral:rRNA from 1 species